rnacentral:rRNA from 1 species
AUUGAACGCUGGCGGCAUGCCUUACACAUGCAAGUCGAGCGGCAGCGCGGGGGCAACCCUGGCGGCGAGCGGCGGACGGGUGAGUAAUACAUCGGAACGUGUCCUUUCGUGGGGGAUAACCAGUCGAAAGACUGGCUAAUACCGCAUGAGAUCUCACGAUGAAAGCGGGGGACCGCAAGGCCUCGCGCGAUUGGAGCGGCCGAUGUCGGAUUAGCUAGUUGGCGGGGUAAAAGCCCACCAAGGCGACGAUCCGUAGCUGGUUUGAGAGAACGACCAGCCACACUGGGACUGAGACACGGCCCAGACUCCUACGGGAGGCAGCAGUGGGGAAUUUUGGACAAUGGGCGCAAGCCUGAUCCAGCCANGUUCCGCGUGUGU